UGAGAACAGCAAGGUCUGACUGCUUCCUUAUGCAACCAGGAAAAAAAAUCUCUCCUUCUGUUGACAGACAGCUCUGUGCUCUGUCACUGCAGUUCAGCUGGAAAAGGCAGAAACAGGGGAUGCUGAAGUGCAGCUCGCUUCUCCUUGCUGCUCCUAGAUGGCUCUGACUGCUACUGCUGCACUUUGUACAGCUGCGUACCAGCGUCCUCUCGCUGGCUCCCUGAUGUGGGUCCUGCCUGUGGGUCUGCAUAGCCAUGGCACAGACUGAAGCCUCCCUCAUGAUGUGCUCUGAAAACCUUCAGGCUGGAAGAGGCUGUACACAAGGAAGAUAACACCUCCCUGCUCCCCCAUGCACACCAGUAGCUAGGUCUGUCCUGCCCAGAAUUCUUCCUCUGUGUUGUGUUGCCUUCAACUGCCAUUGCAUGACUAAGAUCCCCAGCUCUUCUGAAAAUGACAACUACAUCAAUAUAGUAUCAAGGAGUCAGAUUGGAAUGGGUAUCAUCUUUCCUGGGAAGAUCCACAGUCCUAAUUGUCCUGUCUGUAUAUGACUGAAGUGCUAACUCUUCCAUUACACCAGCUUCUUCCACCAGCAUAAGUUUUGAUCUAAGAGGAAAAAGACAAGUCUUCUGGGUAGGACUAAGGAACAAUUGCUAUGACAUGAACUACGACUAAAAGGAUCCUUAGAUCAUUUUCACCCUGAACACAAAUACUGAUCUCACAUAGUGAAAAGCUGCUCUUUAGUAUAACUAAAAUAUGUCAUAGAAUCAUAGAAUAGAAUCACAGAAUAGUUAGGGUUGGAAAGGACCAUAAGAUCAUCUAGUUCCAACCCCCCUGCCAUGGGCAGGGACAUCUCACACUAAACCAUGUCACCCAAGGCUCUGUCCAACCUGGCCUUGAAUACCUCCACUUCCAAGAAAACCAUAUCGGCAUCACAUUUUGUACAAAACCCAGUACUGCAACACUAACUGGCUAUUUUAGAGGAAUUAAAUAUUUUAAUAUUAUUAAAUAUGCUUAAGUAUAGAAUUCGUUACCUUUCUUGUUAC